UCUAGACAAUCCUCUCAGUGGGUGGGCGGAGCUCGUCGGGUUAGUGUGGGCGGGGCCUGUCCACCUAAUCUGGGCGGGGUCUGUCCGAUUCAGUCCUGUCUGUCCGAUUCAGUUCUGUCUGUCCUCUUGCAUUCCUCCGGGUCUGGUGAACAGCUCACACGUGACCUGCUCCAGGGACAUGCUAACUGAAGAGUCGUCAUGGAGCUCCACAGACCCAGAGCAGAGCUGAGCAUCAGAUGGCAGGGUCUAACCUCGAAUAUCCUUGGAGAGUGUGGGCUAACCUUACAUGCCCUUGGCCUUGGUCAGCAGCAGAGUUGUGUUCCUUGGGGACCAGACUGUCGCCGAGAUCGCACGAGGCUGGGAUAGCCCCUCUGCCAUCCCCGGCAUCCUAUCAUCUCCUGGUGAGCUCCCCAUGCCCUGGCCUCAUCUUAGUGAUUCCGCACCUAGAUGGCUCCCACGAGCUCUUCAAGUGCUCAGUGGGAACGCUGGCCUUCAGUGGCAUCUCCGCCCUCGCCCUGAGAGACAACAGGGAGGACCAGUUCCUUCCCUGCGACCGGAGCUGCGCCUUGCCUGCGGGGCACCUCUUCCUGCACUCUCCCUGUCCGCCUGGAAGAUCUUGUACCAGUACCAUGGCGGACACAUCAGAUGGUGAUGGUGGUGAUGGUGCCCAGUGUCGAAUGUUCUCCCCAGAUUCCUAGAAGCAGCCCCAGAGCUCUGCACAGGAGAUCUGUCCCCUGCCUGCAACAGAAGCGUAACUAAGACAACAAACCACCUCCAUGAAGCACAGAGAAGGCGGGCAGCAGUGUCAAUUCCCCAGGGAGCCAGCUGAGCUCUGUGCAGGACACAGUUAUGAAGACUCAGGAACCGCGGGAGCAUAUGCAAGUCACAGGCAGGGAGCAGGGUACACACUCCUCAGAAUGGCUGUCUCCACAAGUGCACAGCCAGCCCACCUUGAUGGUGGGCCAUUCAGCCCACUGUUGGCAGUACCAUCCCUAGGCAAGUGGGCCAAGAUGUCUGUGAAACAGGCCAGUCAGCGGUGUUCCCCCAACUUCUCUGGUUCAGUCCCAGCCUUGAUGGACUAUAAGAUGAAGUAAACUCUCUCCUCCUCAAGUUGAUUUUGAUCGUAGUGUUUAUCACUCAACAGAAAGCAACCUGGGACAGUAAGUCAUGUAGGAAGGAGUCAACACACAACACAGGCACAAAAGAGGACCCAACCCCCCAAAGCAAUCGCUGUUUCUCCCCAUAAAAGCCAGAGAAAUGACCAGGAUUGGUUCUGGACUCUGUUCACAUGGCGUAGCCUGCGACCUGCCUGCCUGGGGUCACUCUCGGGCUCACCUAGCUCCUUUACCUACUUAACUCUGAGUGCUUAUGACUGUGCACCUACGGACUACUGAGUGCCUUUCUCAGACUCCACCCGACUGGACCGGAAGAAUCAUGCCAAGUGUGUGGCUUCCUUAAUUCUGGCUGUGGUAGAGAGGUGCCCAAUUCAAGCUCCCAGGGUAAAAGGCCACGCCUGUGUCAAAUAUUCUACCAGGCUGAUUGACAGAUUGGGGCAUUACUGGCCACGGAGAGCAGAAUCUUGCAGACCUUGAGCCUGGUGGUCUUAAGUUAUUAUUAAGCCCUCUUAGACGCCAUUUGCUGCCUACCUCUGUGCCUGACUUAUAGGGCACGUAACUGUUAAGUCCUGUUAAUUUACAAAUAGACUCAAGCUUCCCUAGCUCAAAAGCUAAGAACAUCUUCAGAAAGCAUCUGAGGCCUACACUGAGUUUUCCCUGCUCUGCUAAAUUACAGACCUGAUGUUCCCACAAAGCAUAUUUUCAAAGUUCCUUGAUUUGCGAUUGUCUUUGCUCUAUUAUUAUAAAACAACAACAACAACAAACUUCAUGAAUCUGCUCCAGCAUUGGUGUGUGCUCUCUGUGGACACCCGACUCUAAGUUCCUGCCUGUGGUCACGCACAGUAGGCCCCAGAGCACAUCAUCUCUUAUUCCCUUUGAGGUGAGAACCAUGGGAUUUUUUUCAUUUUAUUUUCUUAUUGACAAAUUCAGUCCAUCUGCACAGCAGACCCACAUCUUUCAUCAGCAUCAAAGCUACUCAUAAUCCCCACCAAAUCGGUGUGCACCCCAGUCUGAACCCCGGCUGCUAAAAUAUGCAGCUCCACAAAGCACCUAAUAAAGGGGCCUCGUGCUAAUGAGCCCCGGUCCCUCCCUCCACGAAAAUUCGCGGCUGUACUUAGACAAAAGACACAUGUUUACCAACUUUUAAAUCGCUUGCUCAUUAAAAUGUCUUCAAUGCCUAUUAAGA